rnacentral:tRNA from 1 species
GCUGGUAGCAUAGUGGUUAAAGCUUCUGCCUUUAGAACCAAAGUUGGAGGUUCAAAUCCUUCUUCUAGCU